UACGAAGGGGGCUAGCGUUGCUCGGAAUCACUGGGCGUAAAGCGCGCGCAGGCGGCUAUCCAAGUCAGUGGUGAAAGCCCGGAGCUCAACUCCGGAACUGCCAUUGAAACUGUUUAGCUUGAGGACGAGAGAGGUGAGUGGAAUUCCCAGUGUAGAGGUGAAAUUCGUAGAUAUUGGGAAGAACACCGGUGGCGAAGGCGGCUCACUGGCUCGUAUCUGACGCUCAGGCGCGACAGCGUGGGGAUCAAACAGG
rnacentral:rRNA from 1 species